rnacentral:rRNA from 1 species
UCGGGAAUUUUGGGCAAUGGGCAAAAGCCCGACCCAGCAACGCCGCGUGAAGGAUGAAGUCUCUUGGGAUGUAAACUUCGUAAGAAUAGGAAGAAUAAAUGACGGUACUAUUUGUAAGGUCCGGCUAACUACGUGCCAGCAGCCGCGGUAAUACGUAGGGACCAAGCGUUGUUCGGAUUUACUGGGCGUAAAGGGCGCGUAGGCGGCGUGGUAAGUCACUUGUGAAAUCUCCGGGCUUAACUCGGAACGGUCAGAUGAUACUGCUUUGCUAGAGUGCAGAAGGGGCAAUCGGAAUUCUUGGUGUAGCGGUGAAAUGCGUAGAUAUCAAGAGGAACACCUGAGGUGAAGACGGGUUGCUGGGCUGACACUGACGCUGAGGCGCGAAAGCCAGGGGAGCAAACGGGAUUAGAUACCCUCGUAGUCCCUGAGCGGGCUGGCAAGGCGCAU